rnacentral:misc_RNA from 1 species
UCCGGUUUGUCACCGGCAGUCCCAUUAGAGUGCCCAACUGAAUGUAGCAACUAAUGGCAAGGGUUGCGCUCGUUGCGGGACUUAACCCAACAUCUCACGACACGAGCUGACGACAGCCAUGCAGCACCUGUGUUGCGGUUCCCUUUCGGGCACCCUCACAUCUCCGCGAGGUUCGCUACAAGUCAAGGGUAGGUAAGGUUUUUCGCGUUGCAUCGAAUUAAACCACAUGCUCCACCGCUUGUGCGGGCCCCCGUCAAUUCCUUUGAGUUUCAGCCUUGCGGCCGUACUCCCCAGGCGGAGUGCUUAACGCGUUAGCUACGACACCGAAAGGCAGACCCCUCCGACAUCUAGUCGUCAUCGUUUAGGGCGUGGACUAC